GACGAACGCUGGCGGCGUGCUUAACACAUGCAAGUCGAACGGAAAGGCCCUGCUUUUGUGGGGUGCUCGAGUGGCGAACGGGUGAGUAACACGUGAGUAACCUGCCCUUGACUUUGGGAUAACUUCAGGAAACUGGGGCUAAUACCGGAUAGGAGCUCCUGCUGCAUGGUGGGGGUUGGAAAGUUUCGGCGGUUGGGGAUGGACUCGCGGCUUAUCAGCUUGUUGGUGGGGUAGUGGCUUACCAAGGCUUUGACGGGUAGCCGGCCUGAGAGGGUGACCGGCCACAUUGGGACUGAGAUACGGCCCAGACUCCUACGGGAGGCAGCAGUGGGGAAUAUUGCACAAUGGGCGGAAGCCGGAUGCAGCAACGCCGCGUGCGGGAUGACGGCCUUCGGGUUGUAAACCGCUUUCGCCUGUGACGAAGCGUGAGUGACGGUAAUUGGUAAAGAAGCACCGGCUAACUACGUG
rnacentral:rRNA from 1 species